rnacentral:rRNA from 1 species
GGACUACUCGGGUAUCUAAUCCGUUUUGCUCCCCACGCUUUCAUGCCUCAAUGUCAGUAACAGAAUAGUCAACUGCCUUCGCCAUAUCGGUGUUCUUCCAUAUAUCUACGCAUUUUACCGCUCCACAUAGAGUUCCGUUGACCUCUCCUGAACUCGAGUUUAACAGUAUUAUUGACUUCCACUGGGUUAAGCCCAGAUUUCCCACCAAUAACUUAUUAAACCAUCUACGCAUCCUUUACGCCCAAUGAUUCCGGAUAACGUUCGCCACCUAUGUCUUACCGCGGCUGCUGGCAC